UACGUAGGGUGCAAGCGUUGUCCGGAAUUAUUGGGCGUAAAGAGCUCGUAGGCGGUCUGUCGAGUCGGACGUGAAAAUCCAGGGCUCAACCCUGGACCUGCGUUCGAUACGGGCAGACUAGAGUUCGGUAGGGGAGACUGGAAUUCCUGGUGUAGCGGUGAAAUGCGCAGAUAUCAGGAGGAACACCGGUGGCGAAGGCGGGUCUCUGGGCCGAAACUGACGCUGAGGAGCGAAAGCGUGGGGAGCAAACAGG
rnacentral:rRNA from 1 species